rnacentral:rRNA from 1 species
GCGGUGGAGUAUGUGGUUUAAUUCGACGCUACGCGAAGAACCUUACCUGGGCUUGAACUGCUGGUGGUAGAAGCCCGAAAGGGUAACGACCCGGAGCAAUCCGGGAGCCAGUAGAGGUGCUGCAUGGCUGUCGUCAGCUCGUGUCGUGAGAUGUUGGGUUAAGUCCCGCAACGAGCGCAACCUUACCCUUAGUUGCCAGCGGGUAAUGCCGGGCACUCUAAGGGGACCGCCCCGGAUAACGGGGAGGAAGGCGGGGAUGACGUCAAGUCAGCAUGGCCUUUAUGUCCAGGGCUACACACGUGCUACAAUGGGCGAUACAGAGGGAAGCAAGGCCGCAAGGUAGAGCUAAUCCCUAAAGUCGUCCUCAGUUCGGAUUGCAGGCUGCAACUCGCCUGCAUGAAGUCGGAAUCGCUAGUAAUCGCGGAUCAGCUACGCCGCGGUGAAUACGUUCUCGGGCCUU